GGAGGAAUAUUGGGCAAUGGGCGAAAGCCUGACCCAGCAACGCCGCGUGGGGGAUGAAGGCCUUCGGGUUGUAAACCCCUUUUCUAAGGGACGAGAGAGGACGGUACCUUAGGAAUAAGUCUCGGCUAACUACGUGCCAGCAGCCGCGGUGAAACGUAGGAGGCGAGCGUUAUCCGGAUUUACUGGGCGUAAAGCGCGCGCAGGCGGCUCCGCAAGUCGGAUGUGAAAGCUCCCGGCUCAACUGGGAGAGGUCAUUCGAAACUGCGGGGCUUGAGGUCGGAAGAGGGAGGCGGAAUUCCGGGUGUAGUGGUGGAAUACGUAGAUAUCCGGAGGAACACCAGUGGCGAAAGCGACCUCCUGGUCCGCACCUGACGCUGAGGCGCGAAAGCGUGGGUAGCAAACAGG
rnacentral:rRNA from 1 species